AGGUUCAAGACAUUCUCCUGUCUCAGCCUACUGAGUAGCUGGGAUUAUAGGCAUGAACAACCGUGCCCAGCCGUGUCUUCUCUUUUACCUGGCAACCCUACUAGAGGCUUUCAGAGAUAAAAAUCUGUUGGAUGACGUGCAGCUUACCCUUUCAAAGUUCCUUAAGGACCCUGGGGAAUGCAGCCAUCUGGAAUUUGCUGUCAUGCUGUGAUUUCUGCAGUAGCUUUUGUCAGGCCUCUGAGCCCAAGCUAAGCCAUCAUAUCCCCUGUGACCUGCACGUACACAUCCAAAUGGCCGGUUCCUGCCUUAACUGAUGACAUUCCACCACAAAAGAAGAGAAAAUGGCCUGUUCCUGCCUUAACUGAUGACAUUGUCUUGUGAAAUUCCUUCUCCUGGCUCAUCCUGGCUCAAAAGCUCCCCUACUGAGCACCUUGUGACCCCCACUCUGCUUGCCAGAGAACAACCCCCCUUUGACUGUAAUUUUCCUUUACCUACCCAAAUCCUAUAAAACGGCCCCAACCCAUCUCCCUUCGCUGACUCUCUUUUCAGACUCAGCCUGCCUGCACCCAGGUGAAAUAAACAGCCAUGGUGCUCACA